rnacentral:rRNA from 1 species
UACGGGGGGAGCAAGCGUUGUUCGGAUUUACUGGGCGUAAAGGGCGCGUAGGCGGCGUGACAAGUCACUUGUGAAAUCUCCGGGCUUAACUCGGAACGGUCAAGUGAUACUGUCGUGCUAGAGUACAGAAGGGGCAACUGGAAUUCUCGGUGUAGCGGUGAAAUGCGUAGAUAUCGAGAGGAACACCUGCGGCGAAGGCGGGUUGCUGGGCUGAUACUGACGCUGAGGCGCGGAAA